rnacentral:rRNA from 1 species
UGGGGAAUUUUGGACAAUGGGGGAAACCCUGAUCCAGCCAUCCCGCGUGUGCGAUGAAGGCCUUCGGGUUGUAAAGCACUUUUGGCAGGAAAGAAACGUCGCGGGUUAAUACCCCGCGAAACUGACGGUACCUGCAGAAUAAGCACCGGCUAACUACGUGCCAGCAGCCGCGGUAAUACGUAGGGUGCAAGCGUUAAUCGGAAUUACUGGGCGUAAAGCGUGCGCAGGCGGUUCGGAAAGAAAGAUGUGAAAUCCCAGAGCUUAACUUUGGAACUGCAUUUUUAACUACCGGGCUAGAGUGUGUCAGAGGGAGGUGGAAUUCCGCGUGUAGCAGUGAAAUGCGUAGAUAUGCGGAGGAACACCGAUGGCGAAGGCAGCCUCCCGGGAUAACACUGACGCUCAUGCACGAAAGCGUGGGGAGCAAACAGGAUUAGAUACCCUGGUAGUCCACGCCCUAAACGAUGUCAACUAGCUGUUGGGGCCUUCGGGCCUUGGUAGCGCAGCUAACGCGUGAAGUUGACCGCCUGGGGAGUACGGUCGCAAGAUUAAAACUCAAAGGAA